rnacentral:rRNA from 1 species
UACGUAGGGUGCGAGCGUUGUCCGGAAUUAUUGGGCGUAAAGAGCUCGUAGGCGGUUUGUUGCGUCGGCCGUGAAAACCUGCAGCUUAACUGUGGGCCUGCGGCCGAUACGGGCAGACUUGAGUUCGGUAGGGGAGACUGGAAUUCCUGGUGUAGCGGUGAAAUGCGCAGAUAUCAGGAGGAACACCGGUGGCGAAGGCAGCUCGCUGGGACGUGACUGACGCUGAGACGCGAAAGCGUGGGGAGCAAACAGG